GACGAACGCUGGCGGCGCGCUUAACACAUGCAAGUCGAACGGAAAGGCCUGCUUUCCCUUGUGGAUUGCGGGUACUCGAGUGGCGAACGGGUGAGUAACACGUGAGUGAUCUGCCCCCAACUUGGGUAUAAGCCUGGGAAACUGGGUCUAAUUCCCGAUAGGACUGCAGGGUGGUGCCUGUGGUGGAAAACGAUUUUCUAGUGGUUGGGGAUGAGCUCGCGGCCUAUCAGCUUGUUGGUGGGGUAAUGGCCUACCAAGGCGGCGACGGGUAGCCGGCCUGAGAGGGUGGACGGCCACAUUGGGACUGAGAUACGGCCCAGACUCCUACGGGAGGCAGCAGUGGGGAAUAUUGCACAAUGGGCGGAAGCCCGAUGCAGCGACGCCGCGUGGGGGAUGACGGCCUUCGGGUUGUAAACUCCUUUCGACCGCGAGGAAGCCACCUGGUUGGAAGGGUGGUGACGGUAGUGGUAGAAGAAGCACCGGCUAACUACGUG
rnacentral:rRNA from 1 species